rnacentral:tRNA from 1 species
GCCGAUGUAGUUCAGUGGCAGAACGCAUUCUUGGUAAGAAUGAGGUCGCGAGUUCGAUUCUCGCUAUCGGCU